GGGUUGUGAGGUUAAGCGACUAAGCGUACACGGUGGAUGCCCUGGCAGUCAGAGGCGAUGAAGGACGUGCUAAUCUGCGAAAAGCGUCGGUAAGGUGAUAUGAACCGUUAUAACCGGCGAUGUCCGAAUGGGGAAACCCAGUGCAAUUCGUUGCACUAUCGUUAACUGAAUACAUAGGUUAACGAGGCGAACCGGGGGAACUGAAACAUCUAAGUACCCCGAGGAAAAGAAAUCAACCGAGAUUCCCCCAGUAGCGGCGAGCGAACGGGGAGCAGCCCAGAGUCUGAAUCAGCUUGUGUGUUAGUGGAACGGUCUGGAAAGUCCGACGGUACAGGGUGAUAGUCCCGUACACCAAAAUGCACAGGCUGUGAACUCGAAGAGUAGGGCGGGACACGUGGUAUCCUGUCUGAAUAUGGGGGGACCAUCCUCCAAGGCUAAAUACUCCUGACUGACCGAUAGUGAACCAGUACCGUGAGGGAAAGGCGAAAAGAACCCCGGCGAGGGGAGUGAAAAAGAACCUGAAACCGUGUACGUACAAGCAGUGGGAGCACCUUCGGGUGUGACUGCGUACCUUUUGUAUAAUGGGUCAGCGACUUAUAUUCUGUAGCAAGGUUAACCGUAUAGGGGAGCCGCAGGGAAACCGAGUCUUAACUGGGCGUUAAGUUGCAGGGUAUAGACCCGAAACCCGGUGAUCUAGCCAUGGGCAGGUUGAAGGUUGGGUAACACUAACUGGAGGACCGAACCGACUAAUGUUGAAAAAUUAGCGGAUGACUUGUGGCUGGGGGUGAAAGGCCAAUCAAACCGGGAGAUAGCUGGUUCUCCCGAAAGCUAUUUAGGUAGCGCCUCGUGAACUCAUCUUCGGGGGUAGAGCACUGUUUCGGCUAGGGGUCAUCCCGACUUACCAACCCGAUGCAAACUACGAAUACCGAAGAAUGUUAUCACGGGAGACACACGGCGGGUGCUAACGUCCGUCGUGAAGAGGGAAACAACCCAGACCGCCAGCUAAGGUCCCAAAGUCACAGUUAAGUGGGAAACGAUGUGGGAAGGCACAGACAGCCGGGAUGUUGGCUUAGAAGCAGCCAUCAUUUAAAGAAAGCGUAAUAGCUCACUGGUCGAGUCGGCCUGCGCGGAAGAUGUAACGGGGCUAAACUGUGCACCGAAGCUGCGGCAGCGACACUAUGUGUUGUUGGGUAGGGGAGCGUUCUGUAAGCCUGCGAAGGUGGCCUGUGAGGGUUGCUGGAGGUAUCAGAAGUGCGAAUGCUGACAUAAGUAACGAUAAUGCGGGUGAAAAGCCCGCACGCCGGAAGACCAAGGGUUCCUGUCCAACGUUAAUCGGGGCAGGGUGAGUCGACCCUAAGGCGAGGCCGAAAGGCGUAGUCGAUGGGAAACAGGUUAAUAUUCCUGUACUUGGUGUUACUGCGAAGGGGGACGGAGAAGGCUAUGUUAGCCGGGCGACGGUUGUCCCGGUUUAAGCAUGUAGGCGGAGGUUCCGGUAAAUCCGGUACCUUUUUAACGCUGAGGUGUGAUGACGAGGCACUACGGUGCUGAAGUAACAAAUGCCCUGCUUCCAGGAAAAGCCUCUAAGCAUCAGGUAACAUUGAAUCGUACCCCAAACCGACACAGGUGGUCAGGUAGAGAAUACCAAGGCGCUUGAGAGAACUCGGGUGAAGGAACUAGGCAAAAUGGUGCCGUAACUUCGGGAGAAGGCACGCUGAUAUGUAGGUGAAGCCCCUGCGGGUGGAGCUGAAAUCAGUCGAAGAUACCAGCUGGCUGCAACUGUUUAUUAAAAACACAGCACUGUGCAAACACGAAAGUGGACGUAUACGGUGUGACGCCUGCCCGGUGCCGGAAGGUUAAUUGAUGGGGUUAUCCGUAAGGAGAAGCUCUUGAUCGAAGCCCCGGUAAACGGCGGCCGUAACUAUAACGGUCCUAAGGUAGCGAAAUUCCUUGUCGGGUAAGUUCCGACCUGCACGAAUGGCGUAAUGAUGGCGGGCUGUCUCCACCCGAGACUCAGUGAAAUUGAACUCGCUGUGAAGAUGCAGUGUACCCGCGGCAAGACGGAAAGACCCCGUGAACCUUUACUAUAGCUUGACACUGAACAUUGAGCCUUGAUGUGUAGGAUAGGUGGGAGGCUUUGAAGCGUGGACGCCAGUCUGCGUGGAGCCAACCUUGAAAUACCACCCUUUAAUGUUUGAUGUUCUAACGUUGGCCCCUGAUCGGGGUUGCGGACAGUGUCUGGUGGGUAGUUUGACUGGGGCGGUCUCCUCCCAAAGAGUAACGGAGGAGCACGAAGGUUAGCUAAUCCUGGUCGGACAUCAGGAGGUUAGUGCAAUGGCAUAAGCUAGCUUGACUGCGAGCGUGACGGCGCGAGCAGGUGCGAAAGCAGGUCAUAGUGAUCCGGUGGUUCUGAAUGGAAGGGCCAUCGCUCAACGGAUAAAAGGUACUCCGGGGAUAACAGGCUGAUACCGCCCAAGAGUUCAUAUCGACGGCGGUGUUUGGCACCUCGAUGUCGGCUCAUCACAUCCUGGGGCUGAAGUAGGUCCCAAGGGUAUGGCUGUUCGCCAUUUAAAGUGGUACGCGAGCUGGGUUUAGAACGUCGUGAGACAGUUCGGUCCCUAUCUGCCGUGGGCGCUGGAGAAUUGAGGGGGGCUGCUCCUAGUACGAGAGGACCGGAGUGGACGCAUCACUGGUGUUCGGGUUGUCAUGCCAAUGGCAUUGCCCGGUAGCUAAAUGCGGAAGAGAUAAGUGCUGAAAGCAUCUAAGCACGAAACUUGCCCCGAGAUGAGUUCUCCCUGAGACUUUAAGUCUCCUGAAGGAACGUUAAAGACGAUGACGUUGAUAGGUCGGGUGUGUAAGCGUAGCGAUACGUUGAGCUAACCGAUACUAAUGAACCGUGAGGCUUAACCUUACAACGCCGAAGCUGUU
rnacentral:rRNA from 1 species